GUGCUUGCUUUGGCAGUGUGAAUACUAAAAUUGGAAUGAUACAGAGAAGAUUAGCAUGGCUUCUGUGCAAGGAUGACACACAAAGUCAUGAAGUACUCUGUAUUUUU
ensembl:snRNA U6 U6 spliceosomal RNA